AGUGAACGCUGGCGGUAGGCCUAACACAUGCAAGUCGAACGGCAGCACAGAGGAGCUUGCUCCUUGGGUGGCGAGUGGCGGACGGGUGAGGAAUACAUCGGAAUCUACUCUGUCGUGGGGGAUAACGUAGGAAAACUUACGCUAAUACCGCAUACGACCUACGGGUGAAAGCAGGGGAUCUUCGGACCUUGCGCGAUUGAAUGAGCCGAUGUCGGAUUAGCUAGUUGGCGGGGUAAAGGCCCACCAAGGCGACGAUCCGUAGCUGGUCUGAGAGGAUGAUCAGCCACACUGGAACUGAGACACGGUCCAGACUCCUACGGGAGGCAGCAGUGGGGAAUAUUGGACAAAGGGCGCAAGCCUGAUCCAGCCAUACCGCGUGGGUGAAGAAGGCCUUCGGGUUGUAAAGCCCUUUUGUUGGGAAAGAAAUCCAGCCGGCUAAUACCUGGUUGGGAUGACGGUACCCAAAGAAUAAGCACCGGCUAACUUCGUG
rnacentral:rRNA from 1 species